rnacentral:rRNA from 1 species
CAGUAGCCACGGGAAUACGAAGGGGGCUAGCGUUGCUCGGAAUGACUGGGCGUAAAGGGCGCGUAGGCGGUUUUCCAAGUUAGAUGUGAAAUUCCUGGGCUCAACCUGGGGGCUGCAUUUGAUACUGGGAGGCUUGAGUAUGGAAGAGGGUCGUGGAAUUCCCAGUGUAGAGGUGAAAUUCGUAGAUAUUGGGAAGAACACCGGUGGCGAAGGCGGCGACCUGGUCCAUAACUGACGCUGAGGCGCGAAAGCGUGGGGAGCAAACAGGAUUAGAUACCCCCGUAGUCCCUGUCUCUUAUAC